rnacentral:lncRNA from 1 species
AGCAUGGAAUUGAUGAAGAACUUAAAGAGAAUUGAAAAGAGGAGUUUCAGAAGCCAAAAAGUCUUUUUCAGGCGAGCUUGAGCGCCUAGGCGCUGGGAGUGGGCGCCUAGGCGCCAAUAGGGUCAGAGAGCAUGUUUUUCAACAUGCAAUUGGCGCUCAGGCGCUCUGAAUUGGCGUCUGAGCGCCCAGUUUCGUUUGUUUUUGCCUAUAAAUAAGGCUUAGGCCAAUUUCUUUGAUACAUUUGGACAUUUUAC